GGCCGGGGGUGAGUGAGAGGCGGCCUGGCUACGAGCCGGGCGGGUCCGGUGACUCCCUUCGAGGCCCCUGGCCGAUCCAGUGCGACAGUGCCGCGGCCUGCGGUAUAGGGCUCCCAGCGGGAGCUGGCCUGACAGGUCCUAUGGAGCUUGGGGCCAAGUAGGGGCGACCUGGGGGAGCAUGCGCUGCCCUUGACAUCCUUGGCCACCCAGACUUAGUCGGUUCGGUUUCGAGCCUGGAUCUCUUAGAAGGGCUGGGCAGUAAUGGCGUGGCUGGGAGCCCUGGGGCAGACGCAGGUUCCGCCUCUAAAUCCUCUACACUUGACACCCAGAGUGUGUGUCUGGAAGGUUGACUUCCAGUUCUUACUAACUGCGUCCAAUAAGUCCAGCAAUUGUUGCAAUAUAAGAGGGACUGGUUGUGGAUGUCCAUCGAGGGCCCCCGGAGGGCGGCACAGCGGCAGAAUCACCUUCCCGAGCGAGCCUGCCUCCAGGACCAGUGACUGCCGAUGAGCGGUGAAAGAUGACGUCCAAGGGGGCUGCCAUGUCUUUCUCCCGAAAGAGCUAUAGGUUGACCUCAGAUGCUGAGAAGUCCAGGGUCACAGGCAUUGUGCAAGAGAAGCUACUGAGCGACUACCUGUACCGGAUCUUUUCCUCUCCUGACCAUGGGACCCCUGCAGCCACCAGCAGGAAACCGCUGAACUUCCAUAACCUGCCAGAGCAUGUGGACCAGCUGCUGCAGGUGGACGACGAAGAGAGCCAGGGACAAGUUGAAGGCCGACUUGGCCCAUCU
rnacentral:lncRNA from 1 species